UACGGGGGGGGUAAGCGUUGUUCGGAAUUACUGGGCGUAAAGGGCUCGUAGGCGGCCAACUAAGUCAUACGUGAAAUCCCUCAGCUUAACUGGGGAACUGCGUGUGAUACUGGAUGGCUUGGAUUUGGGAGAGGGAUGCGGAAUUCCAGGUGUAGCGGUGAAAUGCGUAGAUAUCGUAAGGAAGACCAGUGGCGAAGGCGAAUCUCUGGACAGUUACUGACACUGAGGCACGAAGGCCAGGGGAGCAAACGGG
rnacentral:rRNA from 1 species